GCAGAGUGAGGGAAGGCGACCAAAUCUCUGCAAAACGCUCAGUGUGGCCUUACCCUAAAUCAGAGGAAUUUAUUUACGAGUCACACUUCUUUCUAAUGGCAGAAGUAUCAGAGGAAUGUAGCUCCGCCCACUCCAGUGCCACAUUAUGCUAAUUAUACUGUGCCGAAAGGGAAACGCUGGUGCUAGACACUCAAACACUGAUACCCCAGGAGGGACUCACAGCCCAGCCAAUAUAAAGAGAAGCCCAGACACUGAUACCCCAGGAGGGCAGCAGGAGGGACUCACAGCCCAGCCAAUAUAAAGAGAAGCCCAGACACUGAUACCCCAGGAGGGCAGCAGGAGGGACUCACAGCCCAGCCAAUAUAAAGAGAAGCUCAAACACUGAUACCCCAGGAGGGCAGCAGGAGGGACUCAAUAUAAGGAGAGACUGAGACACUAAUACCCCAGGGGGCAGCAAGGAGGGUACAAGUCAGCAGGAGGAGAUACAGUCACACCAGUCACUAUAUGGGAAUAUAGAGGAGAAUCAUGGCCCAGAGAUCUGUCUCAAUCUCCUAUCAGGGACCCACCUAUGAAGUGUGUGUGGUUGGACAAGAGCUGACACUCGAUAUUUACAGAUCGGUUCCUUCAGGAGCUGAAUCCUUCGAGAUUAUGCGGACCCCCUCAAUAGAUAUCAGCCUUAUCUACAAUAAAAAUCACACGGAAAAGGCCCAGAAAGGAACCAAGGUGUCACUGUAUAAGUCUCCUGUGAUUGUCAUGUCUUCUGCUGAAGCCAGUGCUGAUUUGAAUGACUGUAAGGUUAAAGUCUUUUAUUAUGGGACAGGAGAUUCUCCCGUUGGCAGUGCACUGCUGUAUUUAACCUGCGUCUAUGUGUCAUUGGAUGCAGAUGUGAGUCGGACCGGAGCUGUCAGUCGGGGAGUGAAAGACAAGGGGUCGUGGAGCUGGGGCCCGGAUGGAAAAGGUGCAAUACUGCUUGUUAACUGUGACCGAGAUCGUGAGGGCAGUGGUGGGACGGACAGCACGGAUGUGGGGGCGCCCAAUGCUGCAGAUAUAAAAGACAUGUCCCCAAUGGUCCUGACGAUGGAGGGUCCCAAGGAGGUCUUCAAGUUCCACCAACUGAUCCUGCACAUCCCUCCUUCCCAGGCAACCAAAGUGCGACUCUAUCACAAGGGUGAUUAUGGCUACCUGCAUGUUUUGGGGGGAGCCAAACUGUCCUAUGAAGUCCAGAGAGGGAACAACAGAGAAAUGGGAUUCUAUGUGGAGGGUCUGGAUUUCCCCGAUGUUGACUUCCCCGGGCUUGUUCAUAUCAGUCUGUCUCUCCAGAGAAUCUCUGAUUCACAUGAAUUAUUUGUUGAAAAAGUGGCUUUCAGGCUGACGCCAUGGAUAAUGACCCCCAACACCCAGAAACCCCUGGAAGUCUAUGUCUGCAGUGUGCAGGACAACUGGCCAUUCCUGAAAGAGCUGAUGAGUUUUGUAAAGAAGGCGCAGUGUCAGCUGAACAUGUGCCCAGAGCUGGAGAAUUGUGGGGAUCGCUGGAUACAGGAUGAGAUGGAGUUCGGGUACAUUGAGGCUCCACACAAGUGCUUCCCGGUGGUGUUUGACUCCCCGAGGGACAGGGGACUGAAUGGAAUGCCUUUCAACAGAUUCCUGGGACGAGAUUUUGGCUAUGUGACAAGAGAACCAGAAAACAAAGAUGACGUCUCCGACUUGGACAGUUUUGGGAACCUGGAAAUCAGUCCCCCAGUGAAAGCAAAAGGGAAGAAUUAUCCCCUGGGAAGAAUCCUGAUAGGAGGCACUCUACCCAACUCUGACCCUCUGAGUCCGGCCAUUACUCGGGCGAGUAUGAAUAAAGUACUGAAGGAUUUCCUCGCGGCCCAGCUGGUGCAGUCUCCGGUGGAGCUCUACUCAGACUGGUUAUUCGUGGGGCACAUCGAUGAGUUCAUGUCCUUUGUACCCGCCCCUGAUAAAAAGGGAUUCCGACUGCUCCUAGCCAGUCCAAAUGUGUGUCUGGAGCUGCUCCGGGAGAAGGAAAAACAAAAUUAUGGUGGAACCCUCAUGUUUGAAGGACUGGACAUUGUGCCCUACUCCAUCACUGAAAUCCUCUCUGAUGAUAAAGUGCUGAAGGGUUCUGCCUACGCUCAGAAAUGCAUUGACCUCAACAGAAACAUCAUGAAGGAGGAACUUGGACUCUCGGAGGAAGAUAUCAUCGAUAUACCCAUGCUCUUCAAACUUGUGUCAGGUUAUAACCAAGCUGAGUCCUUCUUCCCCAAUAUGGUGAAUAUGUUGGUACUGGGGCAGUUCCUGGGAAUCCCCAAGCCAUUUGGACCCAAGAUUAAUGGGAAGUGCUGUUUGGAGCAGAAAGUAUGUUCUUUGCUGGAGCCUCUGGGAUUGGACUGCACCUUCAUUGAUGAUUUUGGCCCCUACCAUCAGAAAUGCGGAGAGGUUCACUGUGGCACCAACGUGAUAAGGAAACCUUUCUCUGACAAAUGGUGGCACUGCCUUCCUUAGAUGCCAACUGCCAGAGCCACAGACUAACAAGAGCUGAAGGGAAGCUUUGAAAUACAAAGCCUGAACAUUCCAUUGCCAAACGAAAGGUGGUGCUUUUCCGGAACACCCCCCUAAACCCCUCUCCCACUACUCCUCUGUCUCAUAUGCCCACAUGAUGCCCACCAAUGUACAGGUAUAUCAGUUGCCAAUAGGUCUGAUUCUGAGAGUUGUGUUACUCACCACUAAUAUUCUGUUAAUAUCAUGUCAGCUGUGCCCUCUCACUACUGUCUCCCCCGUUUUUGUUACUCACCACCCCUGUCUCCCCCAGUGUGUUACCCACCACCCCUGUCUCCCCCAGUGUUACCCACUGACCCCUGUCUCCCCCAGUGUGUUACCCACCACCCCUGUCUCCCCCAGUGUGUUACCCACCACCCCUGUCUCCCCCAGUGUGUUACCCACCACCCCUGUCUCCUCCAGUGUUACCCACUGACCCCUGUCUCCCCCAGUGUGUUACCCACGACCCCUGUCUCCCCAGUGUGUUACCCACGACCCCUGUCUCCCCCAGUGUGUUACCCACGACCCCUGUCUCCCCCAGUGUGUUACCCACGGACCCCUGUCUCUCCUAUUUUUGUGACCUACCACCCCGUCUCCUCCAGUGUGUUACCCACCGACCCUGUCUCCCCCAGUGUGUUACCCACCGACCCCUGUCUCCCCAUUUGUUACCCACCGACCCGUCUCCCCCAAUGUGUUACCCACCAACCCCUGUCUCCCCCUGUUUGUUACCCACCGACCCCUGUCUCCCCCUGUUUGUUACCCAGCGACCCCUGUCUCACCCAGUGUGUUACCCACCAACCCGUCUCCCCCAGUGUGUUACCCACCGACCCCUGUCUCCCCCAGUGUGUUACCCACGACCCCUGUCUCCCCCAGUGUGUUACCCACUGACCCCUGUCUCUCCCAUUUUUGUGACCCACCACCCCGUCUCCUCCAGUGUGUUACCCACCGACCCCUGUCUCCCCCAGUGUGUUACCCACCGACCCCUGUCUCCCCCAGUGUGUUACCCACCAACCCCUGUCUCCCCCUGUUUGUUACCCACCGACCCCUGUCUCCCCCAUUGUGUUACCCACCGACCCCUGUCUCCCCCUGUUUGUUACCCACCGACCCCUGGCUCACCCAGUGUGUUACCCACCGACCCCUGUCUCCCCCAGUGUGUUACCCACCGGCUCCUGUAUCCCCCAGUGGGUUACCCACCGACCCCUGUCUCCCCAAUGUAUCAUGGAAAUGAAAUAAAUAAAAUAAGAGCUGUGUUACUGAA